CAGCAGCCGCGGUAAUACCGGCGCUCCGAGUGGCGACCACGUUUACUGGGCCUAAAGCGUCCGUAGCCGGUUAAGUAAAUCCCUUGUGAAAUUGUCGCACUUAACGCGACAGCGUGCAGGGGAGACUGCUUAACUAGGGACCGGAAGGCGCAGGAGGUAUUCCGGAGGGAGCGGUAAAAUGCUAUAAUCUCCGGAGGACCACCGGUGGCGAAGGCGUCCUGCGAGGACGGGUCCGACGGUGAGGGACGAAGGCUGGGGGAGCAAACCGGAUUAGAUACCCGGGUAGUCCCAGCAGUAAACGCUGUGGGCCAGACGUUGUACAUCCGCUGAGGAUGUGCAGUGUCGUAGCGAAGGCGUUGAGCCCACCGCCUGGGGAGUACGGUCGCAAGGCUGAAACUUAAAGGAAUUGGCGGG
rnacentral:rRNA from 1 species